rnacentral:rRNA from 1 species
GACGAACGCUGGCGGCGUGCUUAACACAUGCAAGUCGAACGAGGUCCACUGCGUAGCAAUACAAGGGAAGACCUAGUGGCGAACGGGUGCGUAACACGUGAGGAACUUGUCCCGGUCUCUGGGAUAACAGUUGGAAACGACUGCUAAUACCGGAUGACGUCGGAAUCUCGCAUGGGAUACUGACGAAAGGGUUACUGGAUCGGGAGAGCCUCGCGGCCUAUCAGCUUGUUGGUGAGGUAACGGCUCACCAAGGCAUCGACGGGUAGCUGGUCUGAGAGGAUGAUCAGCCACACUGGGACUGAGACACGGCCCAGACUCCUACGGGAGGCAGCAGUGGGAAUCUUGCGCAAUGGGCGAAAGCCUGACGCAGCAACGCCGCGUGCGGGAAGAAGGCCCUCGGGUUGUAAACCGCUUUCAGUAGGAACGAAAAUGACGGUACCUGCAGAAGAAGGUGCGGCCAACUACGUGCCAGCAGCCGCGGUAAU